CCUACGGGAGGCAGCAGUGGGGAAUAUUGGACAAUGGGCGAAAGCCUGAUCCAGCAAUGCCGCGUGAGUGAUGAAGGCCUUAGGGUUGUAAAGCUCUUUUACCAGGGAUGAUAAUGACAGUACCUGGAGAAUAAGCUCCGGCUAACUCCGUGCCAGCAGCCGCGGUAAUACGGAGGGAGCUAGCGUUGUUCGGAAUUACUGGGCGUAAAGCGUACGUAGGCGGUUAUUCAAGUCAGAGGUGAAAGCCCGGGGCUCAACCCCGGAACUGCCUUUGAAACUAGGUAACUAGAAUCUUGGAGAGGUCAGUGGAAUUCCGAGUGUAGAGGUGAAAUUCGUAGAUAUUCGGAAGAACACCAGUGGCGAAGGCGACUGACUGGACAAGUAUUGACGCUGAGGUACGAAAGCGUGGGGAGCAAACAGGAUUAGAUACCCUGGUAGUC
rnacentral:rRNA from 1 species